UACGUAGGGUGCAAGCGUUGUCCGGAAUUAUUGGGCGUAAAGAGCUCGUAGGCGGUCUGUCGCGUCGGCUGUGAAAACCCGGGGCUUAACCCUGGGCUGGCAGUGGAUACGGACAGACUAGAGGUAGGUAGGGGAGAAUGGAAUUCCCGGUGUAGCGGUGAAAUGCGCAGAUAUCGGGAGGAACACCGGUGGCGAAGGCGGUUCUCUGGGCCUUACCUGACGCUGAGGAGCGAAAGCGUGGGGAGCGAACAGG
rnacentral:rRNA from 1 species